UUUUAUUACAAUUAGAUUAAGUUCACGUAAAAAUAAAUCUACAUGGUUUCUUUCUUUUUCUUCUUCUUUCCUUUCCUAAUCAAGUCAAUCAAAUCACUUUUAUGAGAGUUAAAAAAGAUUUCAAAAGAACGUAACUCGAUAAUUAAACUCGAAGGAUCUCGACCUCGUUUUAUAAAUUAUUUCCAACGAAUGUGUUAAUGAAUAUUUCAUAGAUCGUUGACUACUACUACUACUAUUAUUAUUACUACUACUAAUAUCUCAAUUGUAAUAAUAUCAAAUUAAAAGAUCUCAUUCCCUCCCCGGCCGGUGAACGUCACGCAACACCACGUUAACGCGACGAGCUCGCCCGGGAUACUGAUACUAAAAUCGCUUAGACUCGUGCCAAAAGCCUAACAUCGUUUCAGACAAACUAAUACGCUUUAUACGCGCCAUUUUUAAAUACAACCUCUUUCUUUUUUAUUUUUUUUCUUUCUCUCCUUCUUUUUUAUGUAUCUCUCUUCCAAUGAUACGAAGAUGAAUGAAUACUGUUCUGCUAUUGGUCAAUUCUCCGAUUUUGUAAUAUCUACGGACUGCAAUACGAUAUUACGAUUAAAAAUAUAGUUAUAGAUAGGACACGUGACUUCAUUCGUCUCCGAUCGAUUUCAUUUUCAUUCAAAACAUAAAUAUGUUGACUAUCAUUUAAAAACAGACGAGAGUGAGAAUGAGUGAAAAAGAAAGAGAGAGAGAGAGAGAGAGAGAGAGAGAGAGAGAGAGAGAGAGAGAGAGAGAGAGAGAGAGAGAGAGAUAUUAUUUUCAAUUUUGUGAUGAAGAUUUUCUUCAUCUUUCUUGCCUCCUUCUCAAUGUUAUUUUUAUAAGACCCUAAAGACUAUACAUAAGUAAGAUGACUCACAGGAACUCGAAAAAAUGUUACUGAACUCUUGCAACAUAUUCGAUUUAUUUAACUACUGAAUAUAGAGAAAUUUUUAUCUUCAGGAAGUUAAAUAAUAGAAAGAUUUCUAAAUUGUGCAAGAGAAAGGUAUUGUUAACUUUGAUCAUUUUCUCGAUGACAUCACGAUCACUUAAAUAAUUCAAACGUAUGCUCGGCUGAUAAGGAAUUGAGUGUUGCUAUCUAAUCGGGAUAAUUGUAUGUAUAUCUUUAUAGAAAGUAUAGCAAGAUAUUGCGAUUAAAAAUUUGAUGUUAAAAUCUUCGUUUAUUAACACUGAUGUUUUAAUUGAAUCCAAAGAUCUUUAGGAUAAAUUUAAUAAAUGUUGAUUAAAAAUGAAAAAAAAAAAAAAUAAAAUAAAUAAAUUCUCAUCACACUGACAAAUACAAAGUUUCUAUAAAAAUCACUUAAAAAUAUCACUAUGGGAACAAAAAACGAAAAAAGAAAAAAUACAAAAAGGGAAAAAAAUUCAAAACAAAAAAAAGAAAAAAAGAAAUAAAAAUGACGAUUUAAGAUUUAACUUGCACCUUUCGAAUGAUCUUAACACCGGUCAUCCUGUCAAAAAUGUCACACAACAGUCAAUGCGUAACACCUUAUGUCAUAAUCACGAGUUGACAAACAAAAAAAAAAAAAAAAAAAAAAAAAAAAACAAAAACAAAAAAAUAUUAAAUAAAUCGAAUGAAAGCGAAAGUAAAACUAAUCGAAAAGUAUCUGACGAUGAGAGAGAUCUCUUUCUAGAGUUCCGUUCGAUUUAACAGACGACGAGACUGUGAAUAAGAGUUUAGUUCUCCUGACUCGAAAGACGUAAGCAGGUGGAAUGACAAGGCGUGCAAAGGCCGAGUCAUUAUCUGUUCUGCUACUGCUCGCGCCGCCACACGAUCCAACGCAGCCUGAAAACUAACAGAACGCGAUGUCCUCGCGCAUUUAUCGAUCCAAAAUGGAAGGCGGUAGAAACGAUCGUCCCUAACGAAGCCUGCGCUAACUUAUUGACUGUAUUCGCUUGGAUAUCAAAAGAAAGAAAGAAAGAAAGAAAGAAAGAAAGAAAAAAGAAAAAAAAAGAAAAGAAAAAAAAUAUAAUAAUAGAACAAAUGUAUAACAAUUAAUGAUAAUAUUCCAAAUAUGAUCAGAUCAAAAACUCGUACCAAGGAUAAAAUGGCGAUCCAAGGAUAUCCAGUUCCAAUCAGAUAAUAAACACUAAUUCGAUAUUAAAUCAUUAUAAAAAUUAAAUGCCAUUGAUAUUAACUCACCUGCAAAGAGAUAUCUUCGGGAUAUAACAAGGCCAACUGCCUAACUCGUUCCUGAAGUAGACUCAAUAGGGUAGUAUAUUUUCUAUUUAGUGUGUCAAGGUCACGCGCAACUCCAUCCACCGUAGUUACCGGUUCUCUACGUGGUCUUUUCACUGAUGCAUCCAACGAUGGGCACACUUCUUCCAGCUGUUCUUUGAAUGCUCUGAGCCUUUGUCCAUAGAUCUAUGGGGUUCGGUUAGUCCGUUACGAAUCGACGACGACCCAAUGUGAUGCCGUUGUAGUGUUUCAGAUGAACUUCGAGACAGAGAGUUAGCUGGAGGAGCCAAGCCCAUUGACUCUGCAUCGCUGACAUAUAGGCCUCGAUCGUUUUUGCUGCUGGAUGAUGCUGCAGGACCAAUGCUUCUCCUCUAUCUUGUACAGCAGAAAAUUGUAUUUCUCGUUUUUCCAAAUCGCUCAUCAGGGACUGUAUUAAAAAAUUAUAAUAAUCAUGUAGAAGAAAGAAUAAUUAUUAUAAUAAAUAUUAUAAAAUUGAUAUUGGAAAAUGAAAUGAAAUUUUUAAUUGUGUAUUAGUAAAAGAUUUACCUCAAUUCCAGAUCCGUAUGUACGCUUGUAAAAU